GGCUCUCGCGGCCCGGACUCAGGCGGGCCUGCCCGAGGAGCAGGACUACCACUCCCAGAUACCCCAAGGCCGUGGCGAAAAAGGGCCGUGUGUUACUUAGGCUGGGGGACUCAGUGCCGGCCUUUCGGCGCCUGGGUGGGGUUCUGCCUGCGGAAUCGUGGAAUCAGUGGCUUGGGAGAAUGGUGACUGAAUGAGAGAAGGAUCAGGGAGAGAACCGAGGAGACUUUAGCGCAGGUGUCUGGGGGCAGGCAACAGAACUGCGUCUUGUUUCUCUCGGUUGAUUUGGAAUCUUCUGCUCUUCAGUCCCCGCAGGGAAACCAUGCCGAAACCCCGGAAGAGGCUCGCCGGGGCUGCUGGGCCUACUGGGCCAGACAAUAAGGGGCCAGCAGGAAAACGUACCAAGACUAAGAACCCAGUAGGUACAUCAGCUACAUUGGGUAACUCCAGCCCUGAGAAGACUUCAGCCUCUAAAAACUGUGGGAAGAAUCUAAGCAGUUACUGGCUGAUGAAGUCUGAGCCAGAAAGCCGACUAGAGAAAGGUGUAGAUGUGAAGUUCAGCAUUGAGGAUCUUAAAGCACAGCCCAAGCAGACAGCAUGCUGGGAUGGUGUUCGCAACUACCAGGCCCGGAACUUCCUGCGAGCCAUGCAGCUGGGGCAAGAAGCGUUCUUCUACCAUAGCAACUGCAAAGAGCCAGGCAUCGCAGGACUUGUGAAGAUUGUGAAGGAGGCUUACCCAGACCACACACAGUUUGAGAAAAACAAUCCCCAUUAUGACCCAUCCAGCAAAGAAGACAACCCCAAAUGGUCCAUGGUAAAGACAACUAUUUUUCCUAUUUCAUGAGAGGAAAAGGAUGGACAAAGAGAGGGAGGAAGAAGGUGUGCGGUGUCUUUAGGUCAAGGUGGAUGUACAGUUUGUUCGGAUGAUGAAGCGUUACAUCACCCUGGCUGAGCUCAAAACCCAUUACCAAGCUCACAAAACCACUGGAGGCCCCUUAAAAAAUAUGGCUCUCUUCACUCGCCAGAGACUCUCAGUUCAGCCCCUGACUCGAGAGGAGUUUGAUUUUAUUUUGAGCCUGGAAGAAAAGGAGCCAAGUUAACCGGGACACUGUUGCUGGAAUGGGCAAGCCAUUACUCCAAAGAAGUCAAGCUUUUAUAAGACAAACGAAGGUGUGUGGCACCUUGCGUGGUUUUCAUGUACCUUUUCCAAUAAAACAUUAAUAUCAAA